CCGCCCUCCCGCCCCGGUCCUCACUGCGCAAGCGCGAGCCGCGAGCGUGGGUUAUCUCGAGACAGCCGGGCUGCGGGCUGCGGAGCGUGCGGGUCUGAGGCCUGCGUUCUGCUAGCUCCAGCGGCUCACAGGCCGAGGUAACGAGGCGCAGCAAGCCGAGCCUCCCCGCUCCCCCGGACAGCGUGGGCCAUGGAGACUCAAGUGCUGACGCCGCAUGUCUACUGGGCUCAGCGACACCGCGAGCUGUAUCUGCGCGUGGAGCUGAGUGACGUGCAGAACCCUGCUAUCAGCAUCACAGACAAUGUGCUGCAUUUCAAAGCUCAGGGACACGGUGCCAAAGGAGACAAUGUCUAUGAAUUUCACCUGGAGUUCUUAGACCUUGUGAAGCCAGAGCCGGCGUACAGGCUGACCCAGAGGCAGGUGAACAUCACAGUCCAGAAGAAGGGGAGUCAUUGGUGGGAAAGACUCACCAAGCAAGAGAAGCGCCCAUUGUUUUUGGCCCCUGACUUUGAUCGCUGGCUGGAUGAAUCUGAUGCGGAAAUGGAGCUGAGAGCCAAGGAGGAAGAACGCCUAAAUAAACUCAGACUAGAAAGGGAAGGCUCCCCUGAAACUCUUACAAACUUGAAGAAAGGGUACCUGUUCAUGUACAACCUUGUGCAGCUCCUGGGGUUCUCCUGGAUCUUUGUCAACCUCACAGUGCGGUUCUUUAUUUUAGGAAAAGGAGAGAAUGGAGAAGUCUCAGGUGCAGCUACUCUCGGAUUACUAUGGCAUUCUCAUCCUGGAAGGAAAACAGGGACCUUCAGAUAAGUAAAUGCUCACCUUGUUCAACCUAAGAUGGUAGGUGGAUGCUGAGUGUUUUUUCAUAAGACUGCUGGCUGUAGGGAUGGCAAGAUGGCUCAGAAGGUAAGGGUGCUUGCUGCCAAGCCCCAAAACUAGCUCCACCACCCACAUGGUUGUAGGAGAGAAACAAUGCCCCAAAUUGUCCAUUAACAACCACAUGCAUACCAUGGUGUGUGUGCAGCCACACACACACAUACACACACACACAGACAGACAUGCUAAAUGCAUUAAGCAGUUUAAGACAUUAAGGCUAUAAAGUGAUCUAGUCCAAAAGCUAUCAAGUGAAACAGGCCUGUUGGCUAAUUGGUGAUCAAUUUUCAACUGUAAUUUAUUUUUUCUAUGGACCCUGUUAAACUGAGGAUUUAGAUUACAAAUACAUGGAUAAUGAUUGUAGCUGCCAGUGGCUUUCUUUUUUCUUUGUUUUCUUUUUUUUAAAGGUUUAUUUUAUUUCAUGUAUGUGAGUAUAUCAUUGCUGUCUUCAGACACAGCAGAAGAGGGCAUUGGAUCCCAUUACAGAUGGUUGUGAGCCACCAUGUGGUUGCUGGGAAUUAAACUUAGGACCUCUGGAAGAGCAGUUAGUGCUCUUAACCGCUGAGCCAUCUCUCCAGCCCCUUUGUUUUCUUUUUUGUUGUUGGGGGGGCAGAGGCAGGCGGAUUUCUGAGUUUGAGGCCAGCCUGAUCUACACAGAGUGAGUUCCAGGACAGCCAGGGCUACACAGAGAAACCCUGUCUCAUAAAACCAAAAAAAAAAAAGAGAAAUAUUUCAGAGGACAACCUUGUAUUAUUAAUAAGGCCUUGAAAAAUUGUUAUCUCUUUUUAGUUAGGAUAGCUUCUCAGAAUUCUAAGAAUUAUUAGUGCUGAAGGUAUGAACACUGUUAAGGAUUUUGAAAUCUAAUUUUAAGGAUUUUAUUAUUAGGGGCUGGAGAAAUGACUCAGUGGUAAGAACACUUACUGAUUGCUCCUCAGAGGACUUGGGUUUGAUUCCCAGCAGCCACAUGGUACAAAUGUCUGUAAGUCCAGGUGUCCACUCCAUGGCAGCAAGCAUACAAGUGGUGCAUAGACAUACAUGCAGGCUAAACCACCAGACACAGUAAAAAAUAGUAGUAGUAGCAGUAGUAAUGAUGAACUUUUAAAAAGAUUUAAGUUUUAAAAGUGUGUGUGCAUUUAUUUGUAUGUGCAAAUGAAUGCUAGGUGCCCUUGGAGGCCAGAGAGGGAGCUGGGUCUGCGGAAGUUGGAGUUAUAGGUGUUUGUGAGCUGCCUGAUACAUACGGGUGCUGGGCACCAAACUCAGGUUCUCUUUCAGAGAAAUGUGUGCAUCUCACUGCUGAGCCAUUUCUACAGCCUUCCUGCAAUCUCAUUUUAUUGAAUACUUUUAUCUCUAUGUAAUUGAAUUUUUGAUUGCUCACAUGAUAGAUUUAGCUUUAACUUCGAAGAGGUAAUUGAUCUGAAAAGAGUUACCGUUUUGUCUUGUACACAGAUUGUUCUUUUCAACAGAUAGUAACAAUGAAAGCUGGGGGUGGCUUUUUUAAUUUUUUAACCAGGAGAAAGGGACAGAGGGUUUUUGUCUGGACAUAAGGGAGUUCAUCCUGGGAGUUCUGAAGCCUGUCCUGGCCUAGGGUAGGAAUGUGAACCUGACUCCGUGUCUAUUUUCUUCCUCAAGUUCUUUUCCUGUAAGGUGUGGAGAAGCUGCCCCUGCUAGAUCAUGUGGCCUGACCAUCCUGUAUGCUUGUGCCCUAGAGUCCUUCUAUGACACGUUCCACAAUGUGGCUGACAUGAUGUAUUUCUGCCAGAUGCUGGCACUAGUGGAAACCCUCAAUGCUGCGAUUGGGGUCACAAGUACCCCGGUGCUACCUGCUCUCAUCCAGUUUCUUGGAAGAAAUUUUAUUCUGUUUCUUGUUUUCGGCACCAUGGAAGAAAUGCAAAACAAAGCUGUGGUUUUCUUUGUGUUUUAUUCCUGGAGCGCAAUUGAAAUCUUCAGGUAUCCCUUCUACAUGCUCUCCUGCAUUGACAUGGACUGGAAGGUGCUCACGUGGCUCCGUUACACUAUGUGGAUUCCGUUAUAUCCCCUGGGAUGUUUGUCAGAAGCUGUGGCAGUGAUCCAGUCCAUUCCAGUAUUCAACGAGUCGGGAAGGUUCAGUUUUACUUUGCCAUAUCCAGUGAAGAUGAAAGUCAGAUUUUCCUUCUUCCUUCAAGUUUAUCUCGUAAUGUUAUUUUUAGGGUUAUAUAUUAAUUUUCGUCACCUUUAUAAACAGCGCAGGAGGCGGUAUGGACAAAAGAAGAAAAAGCUCCACUAAAGAUGAAUUUGGUAGCUUCAUUUGAGCAGAGUCUAUGAUUCCUACUCUUCUACUUCUUGUACUGAUAUAAGGGUUUGUUUUGUUUUGUUUUUUAAAGUAAGGCUGUCUCUCUUUCCCAGUAACAUUCCUGAGUCUACUGUCCUUAUCUUAGUGUUGUACUUGCAUGACAUGGAUAUCUGGUAUCUGAGGACAAGUUCAUUCUUGUGUAUUUAAUAACAAAGGUGGCCCUCUUCAUGUCUGCUCCUCCCUACAGGCACUGUCUGUCUUCACAGGGCUUGGUCUUUCUGCUGCCACUUGUGAAAACCGAAAAAAAACAAGACUACAUAGCACCGACUUUUUGAAAAUCAGAUAAACAUGGUUAUUGACAUUUUUUGAGUCAGAGUAGGGCUGGAGAACACUUCAUAUUUGAUGCCUUUUAGCUAAAGACAUUCAUUACUAUAGCACUUCCCAGGCAUUGAAGAGGCAGAGUGAUUUAGAGAACGAAAUCAGAACCUGGGAACACCAUGACUACUUCAUUUCUAGCUAAAUCAGAACUGCCUUCAACACUGGAGAAAGGGAGAAGUACUGCGCAACAGAGAUUAGAAGUCCAAAUGUGAAUGGCUGCAGGGGUCAGAAGGGAACAGAGAUGCAGGAGACAGGCAGGAUCAGUUGUGGUAAUGAUGCCUGUGGCAAACACAAACACCUACUUGGGCUGCACACAGUCACACAAUCAAUCUAUAAUUCUUGGGGUUAGCUCAGUCCAUUUACUUGUGUAUUUCUGAGUGGUUGGUGAGAUUACUUUAUUGAACUGUUUUUUUCCUUGUUAGAUUUUUUUUUCUCUUUUUUUGUUUUUUAAGAUAGGGUUGUUCUGUGUAGCUUUGGCUCUCCUAGAACUUGCUCUGUAGACCAGGCUGGCCUUGAACACAGAAAGAGAUUCAUCUGCCUCUGCCUCCUGAGUGCUGGGAUUAAAGGCAAAAGCCACCACAGCCUGUUUUGUUUUGUUUUCGGUUUAAAAACAACAACAAACUGUGUGCAUGCAGAAUACAGACCUUGAGGUUGGCUACUGUUCAAGACAGCUUCAGUCUCUCUACCACAUUCCAUGUAAACCUAUGGUGAAGUAACACCAGAAAAAAGAGCCUGAGAGUGGUCGCUUCCAUCUUCCACUCCCCUUGUUCUUGGGGGGAAAGGAAGGAGACUUCUGCUGUUGCAGUGAGCCCAGAGUGGAUUGGCAUUAAACUGGCUGCUUUGACACACCUCAUCUCACCCAAGAGUAUUUCCCAAGUCUGCAGCUUCCGUCAGCGAUUGUUGUGUUACCUUCUGGUGUUCCCUCACUGAUUGUGGACAAACCUGGCAGUUGAGCUUUGCAGUCAAUUAUGCCGUAUCCCUGUGCAAACUCCCAUGUUCUAGUUGCUGUUAGCAUCCCCUUUGUUGCUGUCUGAGAAAGUGAAAGAUUGUGUAUUUCUAUUAAAACAUUUACAGUCAAAAUCCUAA